UAUUGGACAAUGGGCGAAAGCCUGAUCCAGCAAUACCGCGUGUGUGAAGAAGGCCUUAGGGUUGUAAAGCACUUUCAAUUGGGAGGAAAACCUGCCGGUCAAUACCCGGUAGCUUGACAUUACCUUUAGAAGAAGCACCGGCUAACUCCGUGCCAGCAGCCGCGGUAAUACGGAGGGUGCGAGCGUUAAUCGGAAUUACUGGGCGUAAAGCGUGCGUAGGCGGUUCGUUAAGUCAGAUGUGAAAGCCCUGGGCUCAACCUGGGAACUGCAUUUGAAACUGGCGGACUAGAGUUUAGUAGAGGGGAGUGGAAUUUCAGGUGUAGCGGUGAAAUGCGUAGAUAUCUGAAGGAACACCAGUGGCGAAGGCGACUCCCUGGACUAGAACUGACGCUGAGGUACGAAA
rnacentral:rRNA from 1 species